rnacentral:RNase_P_RNA from 2 species
GGAGCCGGCCGGGCAAUCGCUGCAUCAUGCCGUUUCGGUGCAGAGGAAAGUCCGGGCUCCACAGGGCAGGGUGCCAGGUAACGCCUGGGGGGUGUGAGCCCACGGAAAGUGCCACAGAAAACAAACCGCCAACCCCCGCUUGCGCGGGGCGGCAAGGGUGAAAAGGUGCGGUAAGAGCGCACCGCGCCGGCCAACGCCGGCGGCACGGUAAACCCCACCCGGAGCAAGACCAAGUAGGGGGGCGAGCCAUCUGAAUAGGUGGCGAAGCGCGGCCCGCGCGAGUCCCCGGGUAGGUCGCUAGAGGUGUGCGGCGACGUACAUCCGAGAUGAAUGAUUGCCCCGGGGCUCGAGAGGUACGCCUCUUGGGGCCCCGGACAGAACCCGGCUUACAGGCCGGCUCCCCCC